CCUACGGGAGGCAGCAGUGGGGAAUUUUGGACAAUGGGCGCAAGCCUGAUCCAGCAAUGCCGCGUGCAGGAUGAAGGCCUUCGGGUUGUAAACUGCUUUUGUACGGAACGAAACGGUGAGCUCUAAUACAGUUUGCUAAUGACGGUACCGUAAGAAUAAGCACCGGCUAACUACGUGCCAGCAGCCGCGGUAAUACGUAGGGUGCGAGCGUUAAUCGGAAUUACUGGGCGUAAAGCGUGCGCAGGCGGUGAUGUAAGACAGAUGUGAAAUGCCCGGGCUCAACCUGGGACCUGCAUUUGUGACUGCAUCGCUAGAGUACGGUAGAGGGGGGAUGGAAUUCCGCGUGUAGCAGUGAAAUGCGUAGAUAUGCGGAGGAACACCGAUGGCGAAGGCAAUCCCCUGGACCUGUACUGACGCUCAUGCACGAAAGCGUGGGGAGCAAACAGGAUUAGAUACCCUGGUAGUCCACGCCCUAAACGAUGUCAACUGGUUGUUGGGUCUUCACUGACUCAGUACGAAGCUAACGCGUGAAGUUGACCGCCUUGGGGAGUACGGCCGCAAGGUUGAAACUUCGAAGGAUUGAGG
rnacentral:rRNA from 1 species